GAUGAACGCUAGCGGCAGGCCUAAUACAUGCAAGUCGAACGGUGUCUUCGGACAUAGUGGCGCACGGGUGCGUAACACGUAUGCAACCUACCUUACAUUGGGGGAUAGCCUUUCGAAAGGGAGAUUAAUACCGCAUAAGACAGUAACUAGGCAUCUAGUAGCUGUUAAAGAUUUAUCGAUGUAAGCUGGGCAUGCGUCCAAUUAGCUAGUUGGUGAGGUAACGGCUCACCAAGGCAAUGAUUGGUAGGGGAACUGAGAGGUCAAUCCCCCACACUGACACUGAGAUACGGGCCAGACUCCUACGGGAGGCAGCAGUAGGGAAUAUUGGGCAAUGGACGCAAGUCUGACCCAGCCAUGCCGCGUGCAGGAUGAAGGCGUUAUGCGUUGUAAACUGCUUUUAUACAGGAAGAAACGACUCUUGCGAGAGGCAUUGACGGUACUGUAUGAAUAAGCACCGGCUAACUCCGUGCCAGUAGCCGCCGUAACAC
rnacentral:rRNA from 1 species